UAGAUUUAUAUAAUUUAUUUAUUAAUUUUAAUAUUGUUAAAUAAAUUUUUUAUUUUUUUUUAUUUAAUUAUUAAAAAUAAUUUUAUAUUUUAAUUGUUGGGUGAAUUUUUAUGAAAAAAGAAUCUUUUAUAAUAGUUUAUUUGUCUUGUAAAAGAUUAUUGACAUAAUAUUUGAAAUACUUCAACCUAAUANNAAGAAUUUUAAAUUUUUAGGGUUUUCAAACCGGUUUAAGCCAGGUUGGUUUCUAUCCUUAAAAAUUUUUAUUAUUUUAGUACGAAAGGACCAAAUAAUAGGUAUAUUAAUACUUAGUUUUAUUGAAUAUUAAUAAAUUUUUAU
rnacentral:rRNA from 1 species